rnacentral:rRNA from 2 species
UUUUGACCUCGGAUCAGGUAGGGAUACCCGC